rnacentral:lncRNA from 10 species
AGCAGCUGGGGAGGAGCCAAAGCCUCGGCGCUCACCUAAGCCGCAGGGAGAUACACCCAACUGGGAGAUGAGGAAACAGCAACCCAGAGAGGAGAACUAACCCACACAGGAUCAUUUCGUGAAGGAGCAAGGCUGAAGAACCAGACCUGGACUUUCUUAGUGCUCAUUCCUGGGCCCUCGAUCACUGCAUGUUUGUUACAUGGUCCAGUUUGCUGCUUCCUGGAAGAGCAUCUCCUGACUGUGAUGCCUUUGAGAAUAAAGUCUUUCCGAAGCCAUUAAUAUUCAGAAGGAGCCACAUGGACAAACUUACUGCAGCUUGAAGGAGCCAACCAUGGAUUUGAGGCGUGUGAAGGAAUAUUUCUCCUGGCUCUACUAUCAAUACCAAAUCAUUAGCUGCUGUGCUGUUUUAGAGCCCUGGGAGCGAUCUAUGUUUAACACCAUCUUACUAACCAUUAUUGCUAUGGUGGUAUACACUGCCUAUGUCUUUAUUCCAAUCCACAUUCGCCUGGCUUGGGAAUUUUUCUCAAAAAUAUGUGGAUAUCACAGUACAAUUUCUAAUUGAUCCUGUUCACAUUCAGUGAAAUGGCAUUGCAUAUUUAUAUGUUGCUUACAGCUUAUUGAUUUAGGUAACUAUUGUGUCUUCCUUCACUAUCUGACCUGAAAAGCACUCUCUUCUCUAUGCACUCUUAUAUUCUGCCUUUCUGCCUGGAGUUUGAAAUACAUGUCUCUUUAGUUUCUUUUGCACAUGCUACAUUGUGCUUUAGACCGGAGAUAAUACAGUGACUUUACCUCACAAAUCAUAUUCUGUCAACACAAAUCUAUGAAUUUAGUUUAUUUAAAAUCAGAACAAUUUCCUACAAAAUUUUUCUGGAAAAUAGAC